rnacentral:tRNA from 1 species
GGCGAUGUGGCUCAGUGGUAGAACUUUUGCCUUCCAUGUCAGGCCUUGGGUUCAAUACCCAGCAUCACCA